AACUUUUAGCAAUGGAUCACUAGGCUCUUGCAUCGAUGAAGAACGCAGCGAAAUGCGAUACGUAGUGUGAAAUGCAGACUCCAGUGAAUCAUCGAAUCUUUGAACGCACAUUGCGCCCGCUGGUAUUCCGGCGGGCAUGCCUGUCUGAGCGUCAGUAUACUCUCAAGCUCCAGCUUGGUGUUGGAAGAUGAUCUGCUUUGGCAGUUCACUUCUUAAACUGAUUGGCAAGUUUACAGUAGAAGCAAGCGUAGUAGAAAUACCAUCAGCUUAGUUGCUCUGUUAGGCUUUGUCAAAAUCAAACUUUUAAUUGUUUGACCUCAGAUCAGGUAAGGAUACCCCCUGAACUUAAGCAUAUCAAUAAGCGGAGGCU
rnacentral:misc_RNA from 1 species